UUCCCGGAAGUUUGAGUUGAUAUGGAGACGAAACAAUUUGCGUUUGCAUUCAAAUUUUAGAAAAUGAAGUCUUCAGUUCCUAAUUGUGGGAAAAUUAUUCCAGUUGUAAACAAGAGGUAAGCUUUCAUAAAGCUCCUCAAAAUCCACCCGAAAUUCGGAAGCAAUGGAUACAAUUUUGCCAAAUACAACAAGGAGAAAAGAUUUUUUUCGUGUGUUCGAGUCAUUUUCAUGCCGAAUGCUUCGAAACUAAUGUACAGUUGCAUAGAAAACUUGUACAAGAAAACUGCCGAGCGAAGUUAAGGAAGAAUGCUGUGCCGUCGAUUCAUUCAAAUAAAUCGCUUGAUAGUUGUGGAAACAUGCAACGACUUUUUGAUUCGAUAAGUGUUGUAGAAACAAAUAGUAUCGAUCCAGAUAAAGAAUUUCAAAACGAAAGAUCUAGUCAAAUAGACUCAAAAAUCUUAACGUGCCACAAGAAUCCUUGCUGAGUGAAAACGAUGAAGAGCUUGUAAUAGUUACUAGCACAUAUCAACCUAUGAAUGAGCAUUCAUACGCACGCAGGGUGUUUGGAACCUUUUGAAAAAAGAAUUGAAUAUACCUCUCAAUAUGCAUACAGGAAUACUGGUGGAUGUUAUUGAGUUAAUGAAAAUAGCUGCGAAGACAAUGUCUGAAAGGGAAGGCUAACCAUGCUAGCAUUCGACGAAAUGUCGGUUGAACAUACUGUAGAAUACGACAGCAAGAAUGACAAAGUUGUCGGCCCGCAUAAAAAUAUCCAAGUUGUCAUGGCCAGAGGAUUGAUCAACAGUUGGAAACAGCCAAUAUUUGCGGCAUUUGAUACGAAAAUGACCCGGGAAAUUCUAAAUAGAAUUAUGAUCGCCCUUCAUGACGUUGGAUUCAUUGUUGUUGGUUGUGCAUCGGAUUGUGGUGGAAGCAAUCAAGGGUUUUGGAAAGAAUGUGGUAUAGACAUCCUGAAAGACCACACGAAAACAUGUAAACAUGGUUUAAAAAAAACACAUGGGUUUACAUACGAAAACAUGGGUUUACAUUCUGGACUUUUAUGGCUUAUAAUAAGAUGCUUCCUUUGCUUUCGUUCAUUUCUUACUCUACUCUCGCACCGUGAGGACUCGUUUGUGUGGGACCAAGCACACAGCUCGUUAGUCUUUCGGUGGUAAAGCACCACGAAAGCAGCUCGGAUAAGUGCACCAGCAGCGGGGAGUGUGACCAAAUCGCUAUCGACCGGGAACUUUGCGUGAAAUUCGUCGCUAUCAGAAGUCGACCGAAUUGCUGAUCCGCGGUUAUGACGCUGCAGGAGGCCUAUUCGAAGAUACCAAUUUGUGUGCUAUCCAUGCAAAACGCGUCACAUCAUGCCCAAGGACAUCCAGCUGGCCCAUCGUAUCCGAGGAGAGCGUGCUAUUAGCUUAGCAUAAAAUCAACGGCCCUUUUCAGGGCUCCAAAUUUGAUGGAUAAGAGUUCAGAAAAGUUUUUUGCAGGCCGAACUGAAGAAGCAUUUAACGAAAAUCGUUGUGUCGAUGAUAAUUCGAUACCGAUAGGAGCCAUGGAUAUGAAUUUGAUAAUGAAGAAUAUGAAAUACAUGACAUGAUGUAGUGAAUGUAUCCCCAUAUCGAAGAAAUCACUUUUUUUUAUCCCAUUUAUUUAUUUAAGGCUCAUUAGCAUUUUAGCUGUAACAGAGCCGAAUUUUAAUCGUGUACAUGUCACAUGGUUAUCAUAUCUAUAAGUAGCACAUUACACAGUUGCCGUUCGCCAGUAUUCCUUCUAUACCAUUACAUAUGGUACAUUCACACAGUAGCCAUUUAAGCGUAAGAGUAUUCUUUCUGUUCUUCCAUUAUCCAGUUGGACCACCGGACAGCGGAGACAGUUGAUUGAUCAUUGUUGAGUUAUUUAUAGAACAGCAGCCCGAUGUGUCUUGCAGAGCAGAGCAGUUGUAUGGAUGAAUCGAUCUUAUUUCGACCGUGGAUCGAUCUCCAUCGCUGAUGAUUGUUGCGUGGACCUAGCUAUUCUGUAACAACACAAAGAUGGUCAAGUUUUGAACUGAGUUUUGAACUCACGAUCGAUCGCUUACUAAGAAGAAAUCACUUUGAUGAAACUGUUUGCCGUUUGACGUUUUUAAUUGUUGGGACGAGGGGAUUAUUUUUGCUGAGUGAAUUCCAAGAAAAAAUCCAUCCCUUCUUUAAGCGUGAUUCAUUCUGCUUCGGAUCAUUUCAUACAAAUUUCAUACAAAAGAUAAAGUGUCCAAGAGUUAUAUGAUUGCUAUCUAUUGACUUGAAAAAUUGUUUCAAUAGCUUAAUAAUAGCUUCGAAAACAGGUUAUUGAAAUCAUUCGUAUCCGUAUGUAGCGCGCCCUCUUGGAAACCCAUUAAUCUUAUUGGAAUGUGAGAUGGGGAAGCUCAUACUCACGUCUAUGCAUUAUGCUGUACUCUUCCAAUUAAUUUCGUUUUUGCAGGCCGAACUGAAAAAUUUUCAGUCGAGUUAACUCUCUUUUACAGUAAUGUUUUUGAAUCCGGAAACUUUGCAUUACAUUCAAUAUCAUACCACAGCCAUAACAUUUUUUUCAUGUUGAAUUUAUGCGAUUAAUAGUUACUAAUAUAGUUACUGAUAGUUACUUGAUAGUUACUUAUCAAUCGUAUUAAUUCAACAUGCACAAAAUGUUGUGGCUGCAGUAUGAUAUUAAAUGUAACGCAAAGUGUCCGGAUUCAAAUACAUUACUGUAUACUUACUUCGAUGAUAUUCGUUUCUCUCUCAGGCUAAGCUACGAAUAUAAUGAAGAGGGUGGAGUUUACAUUUUAUACUUUUAUGGUUUAUAAUAUGAUGCUUCCUUUGCUUUCGUUCAUUUCUUACUCUACUAUCGCACCGUGAGGACUCGUUUCAUCGGGACCAAGCACACAGCUCGUUAGUCUUUCGGUGGUAAAGGACCACGAAAGCAGCUCGGAUAAAUGCAGCAGCUGCGGGAAGUGUGACCACAUCGCUAUCGACCGGGAACUUUGCGUGAAAUUCGACGCUAUCAGAAGUCGACCGAAUUGCUGAUCCGCAAUCUACCUUUGCAGCAUUUGAUUCGUGGAAUUGCUCAGGACUUCAAAACCGAUUUGCGCUUCCAAAGUUCCGCGGUUAUGACACUGCAGGAGGCCUAUUCGAAGAUACCAAUUUGUGUGCUAUCCAUGCAAAACGCGUCACAUCAUGAUCAAGGACAUCCAGCUGGCCCAUCGUAUCCGAGGAGAGCGUGCUAUAUUAGCUUAGCAUAUAAUCAACGGCUCUUUUCAGGGCUCCAAAUUUGAUGGAUAAGAGUUCAGAAAAGUUUUUUACAGGCCGAACUGAAGAAGCAUUUAACGAAAAUCGUUGUGUCGAUGAUAAUUCGAUACCGAUAGGAGCCAUGGAUAUGGAUUUGAUAACGAAGAAUAUGAAAUACAUGACAUUAUGUAAUGAAUAUUUCCCCAUAUCGAAGAAAUAAAAUUAUUUGUGUACGAAUGCCGCAAUCGAUAGUCGACUCUAAUUUGCGCUGGGUAAUUUCCUCGGAGGACUCGAUUCCUUCUUUGAGCAAUAAUAAUCUCUUUCUGGCAAAACGAAGUGGUAUGAAUCACAUUAUUCGAAAGAUAAAAUGAAGAUGUUUUCUGCCAAUUUUCUUCAACCUCCAAACAUCUCUUUCUCCCGUUUGUCGUUUUUGCGCUCGCUAAUCCUUUCGCACAACACACAUUUCUCAUUUGAGAAAUUGUUGAGUAAACAUCGUUUGCCAGUGCGCGUAGAGCGGGAAUUCCUCAAGAUUCAUUGCACCUCUAAUAAAUUGCCGAAAGACGUGGUCUUACUUUGAUUGCACUUGAUUGAAAAAUCCAAAACGAAAAGUAUUUGGUCGCAGCAUUAUAUGAGUAGGAAGCAAAUAAUUACUCGAAAAUUACAUGAUUUUGGCGAUGUGAAAAUUUUACCGUUUUUCAUGUUAUGCAUCCAAUAUUGGAUACGAAAAUUAUCUACUGAUGGGGAAAAUAAUAGAAGCUUUCCUGUCAAUUGCGUUUGAUUGAAAAUCCACAAAACCAAAUGUAUUUGGUUGCAGUGUUGUAUGGAUAGAAAACAUUAAAAUAAACUCUUUCGCAUGAAUGUAUUUUUCAAUUCCCAGAGGAACUGAUAUGCAACGAGAGUUCCGCGCGUGUAUGUGUGUGUGUGGCGGCUGCUCCGAUGUUUCAAGCGGAACCGUGGCAUCACUCUCCUCCUGAUGGAUUCCCUUCUGGCCUAAAGUGUACAAACAGGCUCUUGGUAACACCGUUCAUCAGCGCUUUCAUGAUAAACGAAGUUAGCUUCAUCACAACAGCGACAACAUACUCCAGUCGCUGUUCAAUUAUAACUGAGUGGGUUUACGAGCGGCGCUCGCUUAUAUACAGAUUGGUGGUUUCAAUAGCCUGUUUUGAAAGUAAUUUUAAGGCUAUUGAAACAAGUUUUUGUAUGAAAAUGUAACAAGUAUAUAACGCGUAGACAUUUUAUCUUUCGAAUGAAGUGUUUAUCAUACCAUUUCGUUCAGUUGUUUAGGAGCUAUUAACGCUCAAAAUCUCGGUCUCCGGCGUAACGCUUUCGUUUUCGAAACUUUGAUUUUACACCCCGGUAUAGAAAUGAAAGACGUAGUCCUACGUCAAAAAGCCGUUCACACAUUUCCCGAUGCUCCACACCUGCUGAAAUUGAUUCGGAACUGGUUGCUUGAUGACGGUUUUUUUUAUGAAGGUAUAUAAGUAUAUGUAUUAAAUGAUUACAUAAAACAUAUCCUAAACAUAGUUCUUCUAUAACCCUGCAAAUAUAGCAGAAUAAAAUAGAGUUUUUUAAAGAAAACGUUUGCAACAAUCAAAUUUGAUUAUUAAUUUAAAUAAGCUAAAAAAAAUCAUUCUGUGUAGUUUUUAAAAUUUGCUAUUUUUUUGUCGUAUUCAUACUCACAUAGUGCAAUAUUUGAAACCAUAAAUCGCUCUUUUUUAGGCAAAUGUAUUAUCAAGCGAUUUCUGGAACUUCUCAUCAACAAAGCUAGCUCAUUGAAUCCAGAUAGAUCGAGUAUAACUCAAUGUUUAAGCUAUCUGUUCGUCAUAUGAUGUGUAGUGGGCCAGAGCGUCAAAACGUACGACUUGCUGCUGAGCUUUUGAGCCAUACGACGGUAGUAAAUCUUCGACGUCACUUCGGUGAAUUUGAAGAAGCAAGGUUACUUGCUGAUUUCAUCGAUACUGUGGAUUCGUGGUUCAACACCAUGAAUUCACAUACUUUAAAAGAGAAUAUUUUAUCAAAAAGGUGCUUUGGAGUGGCAUUGGACAUGCAGCAUGCGAUGUUACAAAAUAUGGCCACCUCAAUGGCUUCAUUACGAACUUUAAAAAGGCAUCAAUUCCCGGUAUCUCGUAAUGUGCAGGUAAUUAAACACUAUUUCAAUAUUGACCCUUCAAUUCAUCUGUACUGUAUAAUAUUUCAAACUGCUAUGAAAUAUUAUUAUUUCGAUUCUAAAAAAAAGUUUUUGUAGGUCUUUCAAAAAGCAAUUCUCAUGUCCGUCAAUUCGACAAUGGAAUUGUACGACGAUAUGAAACGCGAUUAUGGAGUACGAUUUAUAAUGACCUGUAAACUAAACCAAGAUUGUCUGGAAAAUUUAUUUGCUCAAAUUCGACAAAACGGAGGACCGAACAAUCACCCUUCACCCAUCGACACGUUGAACAGAUUAAGACUGAUAAUAUUUGGAAGGGGGUUGAAACAACCGUUAGGAGGGAAUCAAAACUCACAAGAUAUACUGGUCCAAGAAGAUUUUGUGAUCAGCAGUAUCUUCAAAAAAGCCAGAAUUUUCAACAAGGAAAUUGAAACACCUAUCCAAAACUUAGAGUUCUCACACAGAAAUCCACGCACAAUUGAAGAUGAAGACGGCUUUGAAUAUGCCAUGGGCUUCGUUGCACGGUCUUUAAGAAGAGAUUAUCCCGAAUUAGGUUCAUACACGCAUUGCCGCGACGCUAUGGACAGCGAAAUAGAUGCGAACGUGAGUUAUGUGCAGGACUUGAGUUAUGGAGGACUAACUAGGCCGUCCGAUACGUGGCUUGAAGAUGCUGCAAAAAUGGAUAGUGUAUUUAACGCUAUUCACCAAGUUCCAGGCGACUUUAAGUACAGAGAUAAUUUGAAGAAAAAUACUAUGAGUGUAUUAACAAAUGAAUUUCCCCACACAUCCGAGAAAAUAUUACAAAAAAUCAUUAAAACUAAAGUCAAUAUACGGAUUUGUAACAUGAAGAAAAAAAUAAGAGAAGAAAAAUAUCUAAAAUCCAAAAAUAAUAGACAUGAUAAUAAUAGCUCUGAUAGAAGAAGAAAUCAAAGAAAACUUAAACAUUUUAGUUCGUGACAUGUUCUUUUGACGUAGGACUACGUCUAACCGGAAGAUAUAGGGGGUGAAAUGGAAAUCUAGACACUGAACAAGUAGGAAAAAAUGCAAGAUUUGGAACGCUUAUAACUCGAGCAUUUCUCAAUAGAUCGCAAUGGUUUUGGCAUCAAUUGAUAGGAAAUAUAUCUACGCAUCUAUCAUAAUGAAUAACAUUUCAUUUUUCUUGAGAUAAAUAAUUGAAUAAUUGUGAAAUAUCAAGCAUUGUCCAAAUGCACUAUGUGCCUAUUUUUGAUUGGUCCAUUUUGUGCUCCUCAAAUCGUACCGACCAAAACGGGCAACCAGAGCAGCAGCGAAAUAGAAUGAAGCACCAUUGGAAAGGAAAAAGAAAAAAAUGAACGAAACAUUGGUCGCUGUCUCACACAUGCGUAAUUCUCGAGCCAGCCAGUCAGCUUAAAAAUCCCCGCUCCGCAGCCGUAACGAUCAUUCUCAUUCAAACCGUACACCACAUCGGUUCGCAUCAAAACACUUCAACAAACCAACCCAAGCAGCCAUGUCUGGACAUGGCAAAGGAGGAAAAGUGAAGGGAAAGGCAAAAUCCCGCUCGAACCGUGUUGAUCUGGAGUUCCCCGCAAGGGUAGCUAGGCCGAGCGCGUUAGUACCAGUGCACCAGUCCACCUAGCCGGCGUUAUAUAGUUUAGGCCGUCGAAGUGAUCGAGUUGGCUGGUAAAGCUGCUCGCGACGAUAAGAAAACCCGCAUUCAGAACAGAACACAUUCGGUUCGGUGGACAUCAAGACAACAACAGGCAGUUGCAGCGAGUGGCAAACGCAAUCGCAAAACGGCAGCAGAGGCUUUAAACUUUGCAGUUCAUUCGCCUCUAGCCCAGUGAAGAGCCACAAUAAAACCAGCCCAGAGGGGACUGGCGAAAGGGAAACCAACAAAAUCACUCAUCAGACCUGUCCGCUCGACUCUCGGUUAAAGAAGAAGGUAGGAAGGGAUCCUAUGCUUCAUAAGAUAUUUAAUAUAUGCUGUAAAGAAAAGUAAAAAUUUACUGAUCCGAGGACCAAAGCAGUAACGAAGCACAAGUGACCCAGCGAA